ensembl:lncRNA
UGCUUUUUAAGUGCUGCAUUCAUUCUGAUCUGCCUAUGUACAUAUUCUAUGACAAGCAAAAUCUCACCUGGAGUUAAGUGUCCAAUUUAGGACAUCUCUUUGACUCUAUUCACAUGUUUCAUUAAUAUCUGUAAUAGAGAAAGUCUUACAAAUUCAUGUCAAAGGCAGUUAUUGUGCUGAAAACCAGGAGCCAGUUUGAAGUACUGGAGUGUCAGCAAAAUAUCCUAGGUGACCUCUUAGUUUUUUGUUUUGUUUUGUUUUGUUUUCCAUGCAUAUUUUCCUGCUCUCUAUUAAUAAUUCCUCAUUUCUUUAAUACUUCAAUUAUUUUUGUUUUUAAAAAAAUGUUCCUCUCAUUUCCACAAGAAGUCUGCUCCUUCUUUCAUCUCACAGAAUACUAUUAUUUUACUCAUAAAUUUUGCUGUUUUCUAAGAACUGUUGUCUGAUUUUUUUUUUUCUCCAGAGUCUCACCUUCUUCUUCUAUGAUGUUCCUUCCUAAUCCUGCCCUGCAAUUCAUUUUGCAUUGCCUGUCGAGUUGCAAUGGAAUUCCCAUGAUGUUUUCACUGACUGCCUGGGCAGCAUCCAUCAGAGAAAUGGAGCAAGGAUAUGUUUCUACAGAAUAAAGCGGUCUGAAAUGCCCUGCUGUCACAGCACAAAACCAAGAGCACCUCUUCAUCUUCCCUCCGGCCAACGAAAGGGGACAGGAUUUUCAGUGAAACCCAGAUGUUGCUGUGAGUAUAUGUGUGCAUUUAUUAACAGAUAAUAGUGGAGGACUGCAAUUUAUAUCUGCAGAAGCUGAAAUAAUUAAGGAGGGUUGGGUAUUAAUGGAUGUAUGUUUUGAACAAUCUCAAAAACUUCUUUGUGUGGAAAAUUAAGAUCCUUGCUGAUAUUGAAAUAUCUCAGAUUGUUGUAAACCCAUGUUUCUAAUAUUUUAACUGGGAAUCACUUUCAUGGUCCGGCACUGCUGAUGCUGCCCCUUCAGAAGCCAGAAAAUGUCAGAUAUCUCAGUAUUUUCAGGAUUGUUUUGUUCCCAUUCAGGCUGACAGACAAAAAGGAGGGUUCUGAGGGAAGCUCUUAUUUCCUCCCUUCCCAUCUCCCUUUGCUCUUGGAAUAGCACCAUUGUACAGCACCGUUAUGCCAAAUUUUUUACAUAGAGACAGACUGGCCUGUCCCACAUUGUCAUUUCGACACUGUUUUUAACAAAGAUGUAUUUUCUGAGGAUCAUGUUUGAGAAUAAAUGGCUUUGGGUCUAGCACUAGUAAAAGAAGAAAAGCAAAUCCAAAGAACCCACUCAUUGAGUUCAGAGUAGCUACAGGGCAAUGCUGCAUCUUGCUUUUUAGGUGAAAUCUGCAAUUUUGUUUAUCCAGAGCAAUCUGUAACAGCUCUAUGGUAAAGCUGCUUUGAGGUUUAGUUUUGAAGUUUACUGCUCCCAGUUUUCAUUUAUUCCAUCAUAAUACAUGCAUAAAACAUUUUUAUUAUGUGGAUAGUAAUUUGCAUGAGCACGAGGACUUUAGCUCAAAUGCUCAUGAACAAGACUGUUCUUCAGUCGGGUCAACUGGAAGUUAUUCUGCUUUACUACAGGGCUUUCAGUUAAUUAAAUUCAAAGAACCUGUUCAACUGCUAAGGCCUGUUAUACUCCAGAUAAGGAAAAAAAUACAUUUUUUCAUCAGUCUCUGGGGACAGACACUGCUGAUGCUCCUCCUGCUGUAGCCACAAUACAGUGGGCCACAAUACAAGUGAAAAGGAGGAAGAAUGUCCUGCCCAAAGUAUUUCAGUGGGACAUACACGUCUGUGAUGAACACAGAAAGGACUAUUCAGAUGCAUUGUGUUAUAUGGAAUGAACUACAUUUCUGAUCUUCUAAUGCAAUGAAUAUUGUGCUCUGCAAGUAAUGUAAUUAACACAGGAAAAGAGGAGUGAACUGCAUUUACAGUAGAAGUGAACUUUACCUAAAAUUAUCAUUUCAGAAAAUUGACUGUUCUUCUAACUGUUGGUAAUUAUUUUUUCCUUUUUUUUCUUGAGUUCCUCUUUAUUUGGAUAGGUAAUAAAAUUAGUUUUGAUCCUGCACACUGAAGGAGAAACCCUAGUGGCCACAUUCUGACUCUACUUGAACUAGUGUAGGAGCUCAUACGGAAAAUUAAGUGAAAAUCAAUUAACAGUUGCCCCGGGCAUUUGAAACAAAUGCCAGGAAUCCCUAAAUGUUUCUCAGUUCUGUAUAAAUCAUAGCUGACAAGUGGUGGUAUCUCUGCUUCCACUGAAAAUUUGCUUUGUUACAGUGAAAAUUCUUUUAUUAUAUAUAGUUGCUGAUGUACAUAUAUAUAUGUAUUAACCGUCUACAUUUUCUCAUGUGCAUCUUCCAUAAAUCUCCUUUUGAGUCUCUUCCAAAGAAACUAACCUAUGCUUUUGAAGAAAAGAUGACUACCUGGUUGAAGAAAAGGAGUAAUGGAGAACACAUUCUUCAAGACAGAAAUCUUCCAGACUUCUCCCAGGUUUAAUUGGAGGUGCUUUGUAAACCUUUGAUGGUUAAGGACACCAGAUUUUGGAGUGAAAUGCUGGUGUAUGUAUACCAUUUUCAGUUUUAUAAGAUUUAGACCUGACUUCAUGGCCACUCAUUGCAUCUUCCUGUUGGUGAGGGUUAUGGAUAAGGUGUGGGUAGUUAAAGAAGAGCAAAUGAAGCAUGCUAGUUCAUAGAGUUGGGGGAAGAAGCUGGUGCAAUUGUGAUUUUUCUUUUUGCAAGCAUCGUAGAGGCUGGCUUUCAGAUAAUGUAGAUGUGUGAGGAUGUGUUUUGUCUCAGGAAUCAAGCUGGAGUCCAAGUCUGACAUUCAUUACUGUGCUGUGCAUUACCACAACUCUAGAAAAUAUUCUUCCAGCAAUUUAAAUUUAAUAUUUCACAGUCACUUUCAAACAUCAUCAGGCUGGGUCAGUACUUUCCUUUUUGUCUUUAAGUUGUAAAAAUUUUAUCUUCUCUACCUAAUAAAACACAUGCUGCACUCAAAAAUCUCUCAUUCCUUCUUGCAAAGGUGACAUAGCGAAGCUGUACAUAUACCACUCUUGGUAUCAAAUGUAAUUAUUGAUGUAAGGAACGUAUCAGCCCUGGCCUGUGUGAUGCUGCUAUUUCAUCUGCAGGCAUCCUUCUCCAAGCCAUAUAAACACACUGCUCCAGUGUUGUGCUUUCUUCAGCCCUUAGUUGACUGUAUAACAUUUUUGAAUGAGUUGUGUUUUGUACAUAGCCCGUGAAAUCAGUUUGUGCAGCAAUUGGUUGCUUUCCAGAAGAGUGCUGUAUGAGUGUAAGUCAUUAAUGUCGUCAUUAUCCAAGGAAAAGGAUGAAAAUAUGCAGAUAUAUUUCUUAGUGUAGAUGUAAUUAUAGCAUUUUGCAAGACUAUUUAAAUAGUACUUAUUUGGCAUAGUGGUUGCUAUUUAGUUUUAAGCAAGAUGAAAGGUAGAUCAUUUUUGCUUAUUUUUGUUCCAUUUUAAUGCAGUGCUAUUAAACUAAGCAAAUUUCAGAUUGGAGAGAGGGAAGUAAUAGGAUGAUUUGAAAAACAGCAAUGAAAGAGAAUGAAAAAUGAAAAUAAUUGUUGUUUUUUAGAGAUAAAAUUAACGUCGCAAACAGCAGUAAAACCAUAACUGCCUCUAACUUUUUCAUCUGCUUCUAUCUUUUUCAUCUUGAGAUCCCAGAAGCUUGAAAGCACAAAAGAAACAGCUUGUGGAAAAUCUGUGAAGUCCAUCUAUUUCUACAAUAGGAUUAUUCAUCACCACAUGUUUUCCCCAUCUGGAAGUAAAGGGACAAAAUGCUGAAACCACCACCGUCUCACUUGCAAAUUGCUCCACAGUCUAACCAGUCAUGCUAUUGAGAAGAUAUGCCUGCAGUUCAACCCAAAUUCUCUGUUGCUGUGUUUUGCACAUGUUCAACAAACUCAGCUUCCUUCUUGCGGUGAGGAGUACUCAAGAUGUGGUCUUAUCAGUGUCAAGCAUUGAGGGACAAGCAGAACAAUUCAAAGGCUAUGACUAUCCUUGAGACCUUGUAGCACCUGCACCUACAGAAACUGUCCACAGAGACCUUACCGGACCAUGUUUUAUUGUCAUUGUUUCUGGGCAAAGGUUUUAUAAUGCAGCAGUGGAGUCCAUCUUGCUGAAGCAAUGGAGACAGAUAGUGAUGGAGCUGCCAGAACAACCUGUAAAUUAUCUGCCCUAAAAUCCUCAAAGAGCACUUUGUGCUGAAAAGAAGGCUGUUCAAGGCAGGAGGGGAAGAAUUUGAUCUUGCCUACAUUUGUUGUACAGGAACAGAAAGGAGGAGUGCUUUAUUCAUCAAGUGAACACAGCACUUUAAAAAUUCAACUAAGUCAAUAUAGGAAUACGUUUAAAAUGUAUUCACCUUCAGAGAGAGAUUUCCUGGACUGACAGAACUGCCAAUGGGUAUGAGUUAUUGCUUAGCAAAAGUUGCUGCAAAGGAUGCUGUACCCAUCACCCCUGUGAAGGGGUCUUAUGUGGAACAAGCUGCUAAGAAAGUUAUGGCCAACAGAAGUUCUGCCUUUGACUGGUGCUUUGGUAACUACCUGUGGGGAUAGUCUGCUGUUAUUCUAUUUUUCUUCCUUCUUUGUCAGAGAAAAUGGCAGUCUGGUGACAGUGUUCUUGAGAAUAGCAACUUCAUUCUACCAGGUUCUGCUGGUAGAGUAGAAGUGGAAAGUCCUGCCUGAGAACGUGCAUUGUAGAAGCACUGUUCCCAAAGCUGGCAGCUCUGCCAAAACCCAGAACAUGAGUGCUUUGGGGAUGCCCUGGUAGGAACUUAGGUCAGUGCUGGCCUUGGGCCAUCCAGAGUAAGAUGUGAACUGCCUGGACUACGGCAUUACUGGGCAGAAAGAGUGUCUGAUCCCUUCAUGAUUUCAACUUCAGAUUUGCACACCUUAUAUUUACCUCUGAGUACUUUGUAGCACAGUUUGAUAUUUAUGCUUUGACUUUAAUUCAGAAAGAAUCUGGAGAGGAAUAAGAGAGAGGCUAAAAAUGUGCAAGACAAAAAAUACAUGUGUGAUUUCUGAAAUCUGACAGUGUUUAGGAGGGGAAAUAGAAGCUACACUGCUGAUUAUUUUACUUUAUUCUCCCAAUUGAAUGUGAUUUUUUUUGUUUUGUUAUUUUUUAUUUUUCUUUCUAUGCUAUGUAUGGAUGAUACCAGGCCAGUUCCUACCCAAAGGCUUGCUUAAGUGCUUUCAAUCUUACUUGCUUACCUUGCAUCUACAGUAACAAGGAUUCAGUUGUGAGUAAGCCUCAGCAUGUUACUUUAGUUCAAAUGAUUUCUAACUGGAAUAUCAGUGAAUCUUUACCUUCAGGUCAUCCGUGCUCUUUUGUAAGAAUGAAUUUCAGUAGCUUAAAAAUGCUCAGAGUUUGUGAAUGACAAUGAUAACUCACUGCUAUGAAACUUCCUGUAAGUGUGCACCCAUCUCCCUAAAUAAGUAGAAAUGGGUUUCAAAUAACAGGCUCUUCUGUUUAUAAGAGUGGUAAUUAGAAGUGCAUUAAGGAAACCCUCAUUUCAGAAGCAGGCGUAUGAUAUCUAUGAAGUUUCCUGCUUUUUUCCUUUUCUAUAUAUGUUUGAGGCUCCUGAUUGUCUAAUGAGAUUAGGGUAAAUUUGAAAUUAAUUGUAUCUUGUAUAUGUUUUUGAAAUAACAGGCAUAAAGCUACAUUAACUUGUUUUCAUUUGUGAAAGCAGCCUGUUUUCCUUGGUACGUAAGUAACUUCAUGGUUACUAAAGUCUUACUUAUACCCUUUGAAUUGUAUGAGCAAACCUUUCUCUAUUUUAUGUGUUCAUGAAGAUAUUGAAGAAAUAUCAGCAGCUUUGUAUGCAAGUAGAUGAGUGAAGUUGGCAUUUAAACUCUUGAAAAUUACAUAACAGCUACUAGUGUUAAGAAAUUAUAGAUAUGAUGAAGGAAGAGCUGUGAAUUUACAUUUAGAAAUUAACCCAGCUGGGUUUUGUGUGUGAGUGAAAGGUGAAGGAGAGAUAUUUUUAAAAGCUAUUAUUGUGCAUCAGCAAGGUGUGUGUCAUUAACUAAUUAUUUUGAGAAUGCCUUACUAAGACAGUGGUGGUAAUUAGUCUUUAGAUUUGUAGAAGGAAUGUGAUAUUCCUUUUAAUUGGGAAAGUUUUCCUGCCUCUGGGCACGCGCCCUGAAGUGGAGAGGGGGGGAGAGUAGAGGAGAAGGGAAAGUAGGAGGGGAGUGGAGGGAAGAGGUGAGGAAGGAAGGAGACUCAGUGGACUUUAAGAAUUGUCCAUCCUUUUCCAAAAUAAUCAGCAGUGCUACUGAAAAGCCUUCCUUCUGAAUGAUAUUAUCCUAUCCUAACAUUACUUUGAAGUUUUCUACCCCUAGAUGAAUUCUACAUUCAUUAAUGUCAGCAAGCCUUUUUUUUUUCUGGACUAUUGAGGCCAUCUUUCCUGCAAAUGACCUUAACAGCUGCAAAGAGAAAAGAUAUGAUAACAUUACAUUAAAACACACACUAUGGUAGUUCUCUGAAAAUUUGGAGAUUUUGUUAGGUUUCUGGCUGAGUUUAUGAAUUUACUGUAUGCAAAGCUGCAAUGGAUUUUUCAGUUCCCUCCACUAGUUCCCCCAAGCCUCAGGUUACGAGAGAAAAGCCAAAAAUGCAGGGCAAUGUCAAUUAUAGGAUAGCCAGGGGCAUUAUGUUCCCCUCUCCCAAGCUGUUCUCAGCAUUGACUUAUUGCCACAUUUCAGAGAACAAAUUAAGAUGCUCUGCAGUGAUGGAUCCCAAAAACUUGUUUGUCCUGAGAGCCAAGGAAGAGAAAAAGGUGUGGCAAACAGUGAAUGCACCAGAACACAUGAAGCUAAGGGGAUGUGGAAAUAUAAUGCUGAAAUACCCAGUCUAUCUUUCCUUCUCUGCCCUAACCUACAGGAGAAAUAAAAUCAGUUAUAUGUUUUGACUUUCUGUGAAAUAGAGGGAGCAUUAGACCUUCUGCAUUCAAGGGGGGAACCAUGGACAUAAGAAUAGCUGUUUAUCUUCAUUUGUGGUCUUGGAGAUGAAUAAGGAAUGAGUGACGAUGUGUAUUCACUACUGAGUACAUAACACAACUGUUCGAGAGAAGAUGCAGGUUUCCAAAAUCUACCAGCUGCCAUGCACUGGGCUAGUUUGGCAACGUCCAUCUUACCACUCGUGAAAGUAGGCCUUCGCAUAUUUGUGUAAUUCAGCAAAGGAUGUGGUCAAAUUAUUGCCUUUGUCUCUUUUUAUUCUGAAUUACCUCAAGAACUAAGGUCAAAUAAGGAAAAACUAUCCCACAGCAAAAGAGAGAAGAAGCAAAGACAUGCUGGUUAGCUUCUCACUGUCUGCUAAACUGCAUGAAGUCUACUUGAAAUCUCUGAUCUACACUAACAUACCAACUUAAAAAAAAUCCACAAAUGCUAUACCCUGCAACUAGAUAAGUAGGCAGCUGGGUUAAACUUGUAGAUAGUGAGUCAGGCUCCUCAGAUUCUGGGGAAGACUGAAGAUGAGAGGAAGCAGAGUAACUGCUGGCCCUUUGGUAUGGAACACAGGCAAAGUCAGGGGACAACAAUGGCAAAAGUUCCCUGGUCUAUGGGGUAUUUGGGACGUGAAUCCCCUUCCUGAGGGUGAAAGUGGUGCCUGAAAGAGUCAUGUACAGAGGUCAGUGCGUUAGGCUGGUGAGUGUCCAGGAGGAAACACUCCUGGAGGACAGCAAUACAAUAAGUUUAAGAAAAAAAAAGGCCAGAACAUAAAUUCUUGCCACCCUUUAAAAUUUAACAAUAUUAAGCAUAAUCAUUUGGCAGUUCACUUAAUCUCAGUGGCAAAAAUAACUGGUUAUACGUUAUUAUUGAAGAUUAAAAUCUUAAAUCUUCCAUCAAGGCGGGGAGGGAGCAGGAGGUGCUAGAUAUGACUUUUGUCAUAUCAGGACCCUAAUGAAUUCUGCAAAAAAAGAAUUCUUAUGAAAUAUCCUUUCCAUUCAGCUAUUAUCUUUGGCUGUAGCAAUUACUCAUUUGCUCUAAACUGAAAUCCAACAACAUGAAGCACAGCUAUUCUCUUUCAAACUAAAAUCAGUAUUGGCAGGAUGACUGAAAGUAUUUGCUUCCAUUAAAGGCAAAAUAUGUCCUAAGUGGUCACAAGUGUGCCAUCUUCCUCAGCUGUCAGUGCCUAAUUUGAAAUAUUUAAUUUAAAACAUUUUUAAAGCAGGCUGGUUGUCUCUGUUGCUCUGAGCUUACAUCUCCUACAUUCUAUUUCCAAUACCUGCCCCCAGAUCCAUUGGCUGCUUCUGAUGUGCUAAUGCAUUUAGAAAUGUGACUUUCCUCAUCUAUGCUAGACAAAAAGUCUAAUGCAAGAUCAUGUUGGUGAGUUCAUUCUAGAACACCAUCUUCUCUGGCCUUUUGUUAUGGGAGAAGCAACAGGAAGGAAACUGAGCUCCAACUACUGCUCCAGUAUGGUCAGCAAGAUGCACAGGAGGGAAAUUCUGUACCCAGCUUGUGGAAGGUAUGGCAUGCCUCUUUCAGAUCCUCCUCAGAAGGGCAUCUACAUCACAGUAGUGCGGCCAAAGAUGUGGUGGAGAAGCCAUGAGAGAGGAGUCCCAGAGAUAACCUCAUAAUCCAUAGAAUCAUAGAAUCAUUAACAUUGGAAAAGACCUCUACGGUAAUCUAGUCCAACCACCAAUCUGUCCCCACCAUGCCCACUAACCACCUCCGUAAGUUCCACAUCUACACCUUUUAUUAACACCUCCAGGGACUCCACCACUUCCCCGGGCAGCCUGUUCCAAUGCAUUAACACUCUUUUGGAGAAUAAUUUUUUCCUAAUAUUGAACCUGAACUUCCCCUGGCACAACUUAAAGCCAUUACUUCUUGUCCUAUCACUAACUACAUGGGAGAAGAGGCCAACCCCCAUCUUGCCACAGACUCCUUUCAGGCAGUUGUAGAGGGCAAUAAGGUCUUCCCUGAGCCUCCUCUUCUCCAGACCAAACAAUUCCAUUUCCCUCAGCUCACCCCAAGACCUGUGCUUCAGAUCCUGGAUUAAUCUUCUGUGCACUUGAAUAAAAAUGUAGUUUCUACUGAAAGACAAAACUUUUCAUGCAAAGAGAGGACAAUUCUGUUUAAAAACAACAGUAAGUACAUCAGAGACAUUGUAUUCAUCCUACAUUCUGAAAAAAAAAAAAAACCAAUAAUAAAGCUCUAUCUAGAGAACUGUGGAAGGAAAAAAUUUUUUGAUAUCUUUUUUUUCUAAACAAUUAAAGCUGAAGCAUUCAGCAUUUUGGAUCCAGUGUAAAUCCUCGCAUUCCUGGGCAAUAUAUAUACAUAUUUUCUGUCAGCAAAUCCUUAGUUUCCACAUUAGUUAAUGUUCCACCUGCUGUAUAAACCCAGAGAAGCUGUCUCUUGCAACUGUAGUGUUCCCUUCUGGCAGUCCUUUUUUCUUCCUUUUUCUUCUGUCAAAUAUGCAGAAAAUACCUUUGAAAAUGUACACAGUGUUCACAAUAAAUGGAAAUAACACAGAUGCACGCGUGUACAUUUAUGGAAGUGUAAUAAUUCUGAGAACAGUACAGAGAGCUCAGUUAACAGACUACAGUAAACGAUGCCAGGUUACCUAAACCUCAUAGUCCCAAAAGGAAGGAUUUUAGACAGCUUGCUGAUGUUCACAGUGUCAUGACGUAUGUCAGCACCAAGCCCACGUAACGGGUUUAAAUGAUCUAUUGACCUCCAACGGAUAUUAUGAACAUGGGUAUCAUCCUUCAUUGUUAAUAAAAAGGGAACCAACUGAGACAUUUUGAUUCUUGUUUGUCCUGCUUCACCGUUAUUCAGACCCUUCCAUAUUGGAAAAGCAUGAAGAGACAGCAAGCAGUUUCAAUUCAGUGUUUCU